UCGAUAAGAUUACCGCCCUAGUUCUAACCCUAAACGAUGCCAACCAUCAAUCCGCGCGUAGCACCCUUCUUAACGGGCUCGGCGGGCAGCUCCUCAUUCUCGGGAAACCAGAGUCUCUGGGUUCCGGGGGGAGUCUGGUUGCAAAGCUGAAACUUAAAGGAAUUGACGGAAAGGCACCACCAGGCGUGGAGCCUGCGGCUUAAUUUGACUCAACACGGGCCAUCUCACCAGGCCAGCACUCUUGUACGAUUGACAGAUUGAGAGCUCUUUCUCGAUUUAGUGGAUGGUGGUGCAUGGCCGUUCUUAGUUGGUGGAGUGAUCUGUCUGGUUAAUUCCGAUAACGAACGAGACAUAAUUCCGAAUAACGAACGAGACUCUCCCCUGCUAACUAGUCGGUUGGAUCUUGAUAUUUGUAUCGGUUGAGUCGUGUACCGAGAUCACCCGCUGUGUUGUGCGUGCGAUUUCUUUGUGAUGGUCGUGGACUGGUCUUCCCAAUAUGCUCUUUGUGUCGUUCGGCCGUGAUGGCGGCGCGCGUGCCUGCGUGGUGCGUGUGUUUAGCUGUUGCGUGUCGUUCACACUUGGUUGAGGGUUGUGCUUUGUUCUGCACUGUUGCGGGGGCCAUGCGUGAUCUUCGGGCCUCGGAUCACACACUCCAAGUCCGCCGCUCAUGCUUAAAACUCUUCUUAGAGGGAUUCACGGUUCUGAAGCCGUAAGAGACUGAGAGCAAUAACAGGUCUGUGAUGCCCUUAGAUGUUCUGGGCCGCACGCGCGCUACAAUGCCGGGCACAGCAGGUGUUAUUCCUACUCCGACAGGAGCGGGUAACCCUCUGAAAGCCCUUUGUCAUGGAUUUUACUAGUUGGUGUAGCUAACGCUACCCAACGUCUGGCGUGAUUGGGCCUGGGUCUUGCAAUUCUUUCCCACAAACAAGGAAUGCCUUGUAGCGGCGGGUCACUGAGCCCGCCGUGACUCAGUCCCUGCCCUUUAUAUCA
rnacentral:rRNA from 1 species